rnacentral:rRNA from 1 species
GACGAACGCGGGCGGCGUGCUUAACACAUGCAAGUCGAACGAAAAUACCAAGCUUGCUUGGUUGAUUAGUGGCGAACGGGUGAGUAACACGUGAGUAACCUGCCCCUUACUUUCCUGGAUAACUGCUCGAAAGGGUAGCUAAUACGGGAUAUUCUGACUAGCCUGCAUGGGUUGGUUUGGAAAGGUUGUUUUUCUGGUAAGGGAUGGGCUCGCGGCCUAUCAGCUUGUUGGUGGGGUGAUGGCCUACCAAGGCUUUGACGGGUAGCCGGCCUGAGAGGGUGGACGGUCACACUGGGACUGAGAUACGGCCCAGACUCCUACAGGAGGCAGCAGUGGGGAAUAUUGCACAAUGGGCGCAAGCCUGAUGCAGCGACGCCGCGUGAGGGAUGGAGGCCUUCGGGUUGUAAACCUCUUUCGUCAGGGAACAAGGCACUGUCUUUUUGGUGGUGUUGAGGGUACCUGGAUAAGAAGCGCCGGCUAACUACGUGCCAGCAGCCGCGGUAAUACGUAGGGCGCAAGCGUUGUCCGGAAUUAUUGGGCGUAAAGAGCUCGUAGGCGGCUGGUCGCGUCUGUCGUGAAAACUUCCGGCUCAACCGGGGGCUUGCGGUGGGUACGGGCCGGCUAGAGUGCGGUAGGGGUAACUGGAACUCCUGGUGUAGCGGUGGAAUGCGCAGAUAUCAGGAAGAACACCGAUGGCGAAGGCAGGUUACUGGGCCGUUACUGACGCUGAGGAGCGAAAGCGUGGGGAGCGAACAGG